GCUGGAAAAAAAUUAUCAUUUCAAAUAUGCAGCUAACUCUAACAUAUUGGAAUUUGGAUAUACGUGAACCAUUUUCUACAAAUGAUCCAGUACUUCCUCUUUCGACAUUCCGUCAUAUAUAAGUCAAUUACAACAUAGUCAAAUGUCAUUUCCACAAGCAUCUAUGUUUAUCAACUACAUACAUAAUUGGAUAUCAAACUAUUUUUUUGAUUCUCAGAGCUUGGGCUUGUGCAUAGCAUGAUCAUCAGAAUGAGUACCUGUAACUCAUGUAUCUCAUUUCAACUCCACAAACUAAUCAGAGUACACUAUGAAAAGUUUAUCCACUCCUUCCAUAAAAUUACUAACUUAUCAGGUUUGGGCUCGGGUUCAGCACUGGCCAUUCCACACUAGUUUUUUUUAUUAAUAAGGGACAGUUUUAGGAGCUUGGGGUCGUCAGGGACCUUUUGGGAAGGCUGAAAAAGUUUUAGGGUUAUUUUGGGAAAACUGGCCUAACAGACGUGGUAUCCCCAGUUCUGACGCAUAUCCUUCAAAAAAACCGGCGCCGCACUGGUUAGCCUAACACACGGUUCAUAAUCUCCUUCUAAUCUAUUGGUUUAUCGUAAGUUGUACCGUCUUUGAACACUUUUCUCUCCAGGUCGUCUGCUCUUUUCUUGCACUUCGAUGGAUUAUUGUGUUUACCGGCUCAAGACAGAAAAGCAAUUUAUCCUUGCGGUCCCUCCAUCUCAAGGAGUACGCUGAUUUGUGUUAUUGGGCCAUGCGCAACAUGGGCUACCCUUACUAUAUAUCUUAUACAAGGGAAAAUCAGCUAGCACGAGAUCAACAUUCUAGCUUGGCAACCGGAUGCCAGUCCGGAGAUAUUACAAAGUUUAGUAGUUAAAGUGUCAUCCAUUGUGCAGUAAGUAUGGGACUUUCUUGAUCAGAUAACAGCUGCAUUCGGUUCAUCGUAUUCCUGAGAAUACUUUUCGGCGCUGGACUAUAUGGGGAUUCAGCUGAUUUCGCAAACCAACACGUCAGAGACGUUCCAAUGAAUUAGACUAAUGUCUAUACGUUACUGCCACAUAUUGCUAACAUGCACUGCUUGAAAACUGUCAAAUUUCGACCACCAAUAUUAAAGGAAAAAUAAUCGAUUUCCGACCGCUUUUAAUUAGUCGGAAGAAUAAUGAUCGCUAAAGCGUUGCGACCGAAAGAUUUCGAU